rnacentral:tRNA from 1 species
GCCCAGGACACCGCCCUUUCACGGCGGUAACAGGGGUUCGAAUCCCCUAGGGGACGCCA